CAACCACCCACAUCUGGCGCAUAAUCCCAUCCCGCUAAUCACUCACCUGUUCAUCCAUCCCAAGACACCCUCGCAUGAAGCUCCCUGGCCCGCUAUCGCACUACUUGUCUUCUCUACAAUUGCGCCGCCCAUCACUUGAUGGCCGAGCCCUACUUCCCCUCUGUGAUUGCUGCUUCGACGGUUUACCUCCCAGGUCGGAGUAGCACCAGAAGGCGGAACAACAAGCAGUGGACUCCGGUGAUCCCCUCUUUGAAGAGCCCAGAUUGAAGGUUAAUGUGUCAAUCGCCCAUGAAGCACAUAAGAAGUUAUUAGGAAGAAGCAUCACAUAUGUCCGCAUCGCAAUAGCGCAAGGGACAAGGUCCUCGCACUUUUGAUUGCAGUUCGUGUCACUGCAGGAGAUGGUGUGGAGCUUACUGACCAUCAUAGAAGAAAAUUCUAUAUUUAACGGAGACACAUGAUCACAGCAUGGAAGCACUUCCCAUGUUAUUUGAUAUGAUAUGGUUUUUCUUUUUCUUUUUAAUGGAAACAAAUCUAUAUUUGUA